UACGGAGGGAGCUAGCGUUGUUCGGAAUUACUGGGCGUAAAGCGCACGUAGGCGGCUUUGUAAGUUAGAGGUGAAAGCCCGGAGCUCAACUCCGGAAUUGCCUUUAAGACUGCAUCGCUUGAAUCCGGGAGAGGUGAGUGGAAUUUCGAGUGUAGAGGUGAAAUUCGUAGAUAUUCGGAAGAACACCAGUGGCGAAGGCGGCUCACUGGACCGGUAUUGACGCUGAGGUGCGAAAGCGUGGGGAGCAAACAGG
rnacentral:rRNA from 1 species